rnacentral:rRNA from 1 species
CCUACGGGGUGCAGCAGUAAGGAAUAUUGGUCAAUGGUGGAAACCCUGAAGCAGCAACGCCGCGUGGAGGAUGAAGGUUCUCGGAUUGUAAACUCCUUUUGUUAGAGAAGAUAAUGACGGUAUCUAACGAAUAAGCACCGGCUAACUCCGAGCCAGCAGCCCCGGUAAUACGGAGGGUGCAAGGGUUAUUCGGAUUAACUGGGCGUAAAGAGCGCGUAGGCGGGAUAGCAAGUCAGAUGUGAAAUCCUAUGGCUUAACCAUAGAACUGCAGUUGACACUGUUAUUCUAGAGUAUGGAAGAGGUAGGUGGAAUGCUUGGUGUAGGGGUGAAAUCCGUAGAGAUCAAGAAGAAUACUGAUUGCGAAGGCGACCUGCUAGAACAUAACUGACGCUGAUGCGCGAAAGCGUGGGGAGCAAACAGGAUUAGAUACCCGAGUAGUC